rnacentral:rRNA from 1 species
CGCGGCCUAUCAGCUUGUUGGUGGGGUAAUGGCCCACCAAGGCUUCGACGGGUAGCCGGCCUGAGAGGGUGACCGGCCACACUGGGACUGAGACACGGCCCAGACUCCUACGGGAGGCAGCAGUGGGGAAUAUUGGACAAUGGGCGAAAGCCUGAUCCAGCAACGCCGCGUGAGGGAUGACGGCCUUCGGGUUGUAAACCUCUUUCAGCAGGGACGAAGCGAAAGUGACGGUACCUGCAGAAGAAGGACCGGCCAACUACGUGCCAGCAGCCGCGGUGAUACGUAGGGUCCGAGCGUUGUCCGGAAUUAUUGGGCGUAAAGAGCUCGUAGGCGGCUUGUCACGUCGGGUGUGAAAGCCCGGGGCUUAACCCCGGGUCUGCAGUCGAUACGGGCAGGCUAGAGUUCGGUAGGGGAGAUCGGAAUUCCUGGUGUAGCGGUGAAAUGCGCAGAUAUCAGGAGGAACACCGGUGGCGAAGGCGGGAUCCUGGGCCAUUGCUGACACUGAGGCGCGAAAGCUGGGGGAGCGAACAGGAUUAGAUACCCUGGUAGUCCCAGCCGUAAACGAUGGGUGCUAGGUGUGGGAGGCUAUCGACGCCUUCCGUGCCGCAGCUAACGCAUUAAGCGCCCCGCCUGGGGAGUACGG